CAUUACCGAGUUUUCAACUCCCUAACCCUUCUGUGAACCUACCUAUCGUUGCUUCGGCGGACUCGCCCCAGCCCGGACGCGGACUGGACCAGCGGCCCGCCGGGGACCUCAAACUCUUGUAUUCCAGCAUCUUCUGAAUACGCCGCAAGGCAAAACAAAUGAAUCAAAACUUUCAACAACGGAUCUCUUGGCUCUGGCAUCGAUGAAGAACGCAGCGAAACGCGAUAAGUAAUGUGAAUUGCAGAAUCCAGUGAAUCAUCGAAUCUUUGAACGCACAUUGCGCCCGCCAGCAUUCUGGCGGGCAUGCCUGUUCGAGCGUCAUUUCAACCCUCGACCUCCCCUUGGGGGGGUCGGCGUUGGGGACCGGCAGCACACCGCCGGCCCUGAAAUGGAGUGGCGGCCCGUCCGCGGCGACCUCUGCGCAGUAAUACAGCUCGCACCGGAACCCCGACGCGGCCACGCCGUAAAACACCCAACUUCUGAACGUUGAC
rnacentral:rRNA from 1 species